UUUUUUUUUUUUUUUUUUUUUUUUUUUUUUUAAGUAAGCUUUUUGCCCAAUGUAGAGCUUGAACUCACAACCCGGAGAUUAAGAGAUGCAUGCUCCACUAAACGAGCCAGACGGUGCCCCUCUCUGGUAACUUUUAUCUCAGUCAAGCUACCAGAACUCAAAGUGUGUUUUCCUUAUACAAAAUGGUGGGCCCAAGGACUUCCUUGGGUGUCAUUCUUCUAGAGGUUUUCUGACCUCACAUUCCCCCUUAUUGGAGCCUAGAAGCAUCUGGCUUAACUGGUCUGUUUUCCUUUGGGAGGACUCUUUGAGGUUUGUCCCCAUAAGCUUAUGAGGAUGUAUCUAGAAUGUUUAUAUUUUAUUUUGUAAAAUAAAGUUUAUGAUUUGCUACUGAAGCCCCUUGAUUCCCUCUCAGUGUCAUCACUGAGAAGGGCCCAAUGAGUCCUGCUUUCCUUUCUCCCAGCCUCCAGUUCUUAAAAGUCUUACUCUCAUUCGAUGGAGAGAUGUCUUUAACUCCAAUUAGAUCACAGUGCUGUUUCUCUAAAGAGAUCAAGUACCCUGAGUUGAAGAUUUUUAUAGAAAUGUAUUCCUUUAAAGGACUGACACUCCUACCCCUUUCCGCCCCUACCACUGUCAUAAAUGUGAUUUUCCCCUUCCCCCACCAAGCCUUCUAUCAGCUUCUAGAGGAAACUGGAUGCUGCCAGAGACUCAGGAAGGACACAUUCAGUGUCCUUCUUUGUGGUAGUUCCCCUGAGAAGUGGCUACAGUGACUGCUUUGUGCUAUCAAACUUUAGGGUGAGGGUCUCCCUUUGAAAUGUUGGGGCUGAUGAGAGCCUUCAAAGAAAAUGCUCCCUAGGGCUUCAUGAGAGAAGGUAUGGUACGUAUGUUAUUAAUAUAUUCUUAAGGCUAACUGACAGGAGUUGUGAAAACAGACACCUGCUUUUCAAGGUGGUAAGAGCAGAGCUGAAGAAUAUGACAUUUGUUUAAACAUGUAAAGCUAACCAAAAUAUCCUAAUCCCUGCAGAAAGAGUCAUAGUGUUUAGUACAGGCUAUGCAUUAACUUCCCAUGUGACUUUGGGCACUUCACCACUGGGUUCUGCCUUUAAAAUGAAGGAUUAAGCUAGGUAAUCUCCAAGGGGACUUGUUUUGUAUUAUGGAUGAUUUCAAACCAUAUAUUUAAAUAUAUAUUAGAGUCAAAUUGUUCAAUGAAGUCCUACAGACCUACCAAUCGAUUUCAGUAAUGAUCAACCCAUGGCCAAUCUUGUUUCAUCUGUACUCCCACAGCUUGAUGAUCACGUUUGCUUCAUAUAGACUUGUCAUAAUCCUUGGAUUCCUGGAUGAAAUGUUGCCCCCUAUUUUUAGGACCAAAACAAGACAGCUUCUACCAGAGAAAGGUCACUCAGAGCACAAGUCCUCAGAUGGCUGGCCAUAACAACCAGCAUUUCUUUCUGAACAUCUUGUCCCCAAGAAUGCUCCCUGUGGAGGGGGUCUUCAGUAAUUAGAGCAUAAGACAUUGAAUCCUCAGGCCCCAGGCAUUCCCUGGAGGGCUCUUGCAUCAGACUGCAAUCUCAUUCUACAGGAUGAGGGGAUAUCUGUCUUGUUCACCGAGACCACACGUGGUCCAUUUGCUGGAGUGAAGUGGUUUUAGCAACUGCUCAAGAGCCAGUUCUUCAAUUCCAGGGUCUCAGUAGUCUGAUCGUCCAGCAUCUUGCCUGAAGCUGCUCAGAGUGGCAGGCAACUGUCAAGAUUUAUCCUAUUGCAUUUCAAGGUCCAUCUCCUUUACUCCAGACCAAGAAGAAAGGAAAAGAUUCUUCCAUCUGUUCUCUCUAGUCUUCUGUACAUCUCUUUGUAAGUGGAUUUAAAGGAGCUUCUAUUACUCCCCUAAGAACCCACCCAUGGGCUCACAAAACCUUCCAAGGAUCUCAUGCUUCCAUGGACUUUGUAGCUGUCAUUCAAUCUGACACAGGGAAAUAUUCCUGAACCCUGAAAGGCUAGUACUGUUUUCCACAUGAGCACAGGUCUCCCUAAAGCAUAUGAGCAUCAAGCCUGCCUUUCUAGGACAUACGGUGUUCAAGGCUGUUGAGAUGCGCCAGAAACAGUCUAUAGCAAAGGAUUUACCUUAACUGCACAAACCUUGGUGCUUCCACUUUUUGCUCGAUAGCUGGGUGAGCAUAGCCCACCUUCCUGAAAGAACUUCAAGAAAGAGUCUGGAGAAUAGAAUGCCCCAAGUCAGGAAUACGCCUUCUUUUCUAUGGAGCCUUCCAAAGGGCACACCCUCUGCUACUGCGUACUGUAAAUUCAGAGCUUCAGGAGCUGAGGCCUCCUGGGCUUGGGGGGAAAGGUAGCUGAGGAGAAAGGGACUCCUUCUCACCUUUUGUUUACCUUCAAUCUGGCUGAAUUUUAGCUGCCCUUAACUUCUAGUUUGCUAAAGUCCUUAUUGCCUUAACAACCACCUAAUAAGCAGUCAGAACCAGAAGAUAAAGCCCCUUUGUUGGCAUUCAUUGUUAACCCCUACACUUGUCCCUGUCUCCCCAAUGCUGCUGUGCCUGAAAAGAGUCCCAGCCCCAUCUCCAAAGCACUGGGUUAGCCUCUGCUGAAACAGAACUAUGCCCAGGCUAAGGACAAACCCAGAACUGCUCAGAUGGGGAGAGAUCCCCAUACCAUGCUUUCACUGCUGACAACCGUGGCUAUCCUUCAGACUUGGCUUUGCUUCAGAUCUGGACUCCUCAUGCUCCCUUCCCUCCACCUCUUGUUCCAGAGACCCUCCACACCCCGUCAUUCUCAGUGCCGUUCCUGAAGACCAUCUAGACUUUUGUUCUCCUGAACAUUCUCUAUCACCUUCAGCUGCAGCGUAUUUCGUCAGCCUCUCCACCAAGCUCUUUAAAACGAAAGGCAGUUGCUGUCUUCCCAUGGACAAUAAUGAAUGUAUCUCCUGUAAGUGCAGACCAUGUAGAGAAGUGGCUGGGUUUAUCAAAAAGAGGGUUUUUGUAAAGCCUGUUUAUUUUUUUAAGUCAGUUUUGAGCAUUUCUAUUUUACCACCCUUCACAUGGUUUUGGGGAACCCAAAUUGUAUCAAGGUCUCAUGCCAAAACAAGCCAAAAGUUGUUUUCUUUACCUUUUUCCUCCAUGCACCAUGAUUUAAAUGAUUGUUUCAAUGUCAUUUUAAAUGUUUUCUUGUGACAUGUACUGACGAUAAAAGUCAUCUUGACAAAAAAAAGAUUUAUACAUGAAUCAGAAAGUAUUUAUUUCAAUUUUGUACCUUUCCAUUUUAAUACAUUAUAAUGUAUUGACUCAACUGAGAUAAUAUAAACAGUUCAUUUUAAUAACAUA
rnacentral:lncRNA from 1 species